UGACCACAUUUGCAGAGAAGCAGAAAGUUCCAUAUGCAAGGGGAGGAAUGAAGGUGUUCUCACUAAAGAGUUAUAAUCAUCACUAUGGUAAUGGUAUACACAAGUGAUUGCCGCAUCGCAUUGCGAUGACGUCAGCAUUGAGCGCGGCUUCUGGACGGGCAAGUGGUCCCAGCCUGGACGCCGGCAUUUCACAAGCGGUGUGCACCUAUAAAAGACCACCCUUGACCAAUCAACCAGAUUGGUAUACUGAUUGAAAAGCAGCCAGCCGUUACUAUGGUAUACUGAUGGAUAAGCAGCCAGCCGUU